rnacentral:rRNA from 1 species
GAGUUUGAUCCUGGCUCAGGAUGAACGCUAGCGGCAGGCCUAAUACAUGCAAGUCGAGGGGUAACAGUGGAGCUUGCUCCAGCUGACGACCGGCGCACGGGUGCGUAACGCGUAUACAAUCUACCCUUUACUUAGGGAUAGCCCGGGGAAACUCGGAUUAAUACCUAAUAGUAUCUAAGAGCUUCAUGGCUUUAAGAUUAAAGAUUUAUCGGUAAAGGAUGAGUAUGCGUCCCAUUAGCUAGUUGGUGAGGUAACGGCUCACCAAGGCGACGAUGGGUAGGGGUUCUGAGAGGAAGAUCCCCCACACUGGUACUGAGAUACGGACCAGACUCCUACGGGAGGCAGCAGUAGGGAAUAUUGGUCCAUGGGCGAGAGCCUGAACCAGCCAUGCCGCGUGUAGGAAGACGGCCUUCUGGGUUGUAAACUACUUUUUACAGGGAAGAAAAAGACCAUGCGUGGUAAAUUGCCGGUACCUGCAGAAUAAGCACCGGCUAACUCCGUGCCAGCAGCCGCGGUAAUACGGAGGGUGCAAGCGUUGUCCGGAUUUAUUGGGUUUAAAGGGUGCGUAGGUGGUUUAAUAAGUCAGUGGUGAAAGUCAACAGCUCAACUGUUGAAGUGCCAUUGAUACUGUUAGACUUGAGUAUCGUUGAGGUAGGCGGAAUUUAUGAUGUAGCGGUGAAAUGCAUAGAUAUCAUAAAGAACACCGAUAGCGAAGGCAGCUUACUAAGCGAUAACUGACACUGAGGCACGAAAGCGUGGGGAGCGAACAGGAUUAGAUACCCUGGUAGUCCACGCCGUAAACGAUGAUUACUCGAUGUAUGUCCACUUGAGGAUAUGCGUCUUAGGGAAACUGAUAAGUAAUCCACCUGGGGAGUACGCUGGCAACAGUGAAACUCAAGGAAUUGACG